CCCUGGCGAUGGCUAUCUUUUCACUUGCAUAGGAAGAUGAUCUGACUUCAUGCUGAGAUUGGGCGAAACUGGACAGAUGCUCUUGUUUUUCUGAGCCUACAUCUCCUCUGGAUUGGCAGGGAUUAUAGCCCCGGGCAAAGAAGUUCUCUGACAACAGGAAAGAUGUCUUCUAUUCUGAGAUGGGAGUGGAGGAUAAGUUUGGUAUAAAUUCACCAAGUACAUAGACUGUUCGUCACCAGGAAGAAGGUGUGACAUAAUAGCAGGAAAAACAAAUGGUCACCAACUUUAUGGGGAAGGUAAAAGUGCUGUCUUGAACAGAGAGUGUCCAUAUGCCAUUUACAGUGUCAAAAGGAAUACAAGAAUUGGAAAAUUUUGCAUCUAUGCCAGAAGCUAGAUAAGGACAUGAAGAAAUGUCUCUAUUCAUAGAAAGGACACUUUAUGAAAGACACCAAGGGAUAACUUACUGAGAAAGUGAUAUGGCCUUGAAAAAGAAAAAAAUAUAGAGGAAAUUUGAGAGGCAUUUUAAUAAUAUCCUAAAAUAGGACAGUGCGGCACCUUCCUUUUGAAGUUCCUACAGAGCCUCAGGGAAGCUAGUUACUUGUGCCUCUACCAUAUGACCACCAAUUGGGGUAUAGAGUUUGAGGUUUUUGGCAAAAUUGAAAAGCUAUUUUAACCAGUUUUGUGGUAGAAAAACUUAGGCCUCACCAUUUCAAGCCUGGGCCCUAGCACAAUCGCUUUGCCAUACAGAGAAAGUUAUGACCUCAGCUCAUGGAAAAUCAGAGUAAACCUCCCAUCCAGGUGUUAGCCACUGAAUGGGUAAAAUGUUACAUAGCAUAAGCUCUAAGAAAGGAUUAGGAAAAAAAAAUCUAUGUAGAUCAAAGAGAAAUCUAUUUACUCCACUUUGAGAGAAAUAACAGGCCUGAUAAAAUAGUCAUCAUUCAAGGAUGAAUAAACAGGCAAAAUAAAACUUCAUUAUGAGGCAUGUGAAAAAUUUUGCAACUUUAAAAAAUGAAAAUAUAGCACUCAAGAGGCAGAGGAAGAGCAUACUUUGAAAAAGAUUUACUACAAGAAAUGGGAAUAAAUUUCAAGCAGCAUAUGCUUUGUGAUCUAAAUAACAUUCAAGGACCCCAUGAAGCAAGAGAUGAAAAAUGAGAAAAGAAAACAAGUGGAGAUGAGAAAACUGGUUGAGAAACUAGAAUGCAGAGAGGAAGAUGUAGGAAGAAAAAAUGUUAUAAAACUGAGUGUAAACAUCAAAAUUGAAAAUACAUUAGAAUCAAUAAAUCACUUAAUUGCUGCAGCUUAUAAUGAAAGCAGUAACAGACAGGACAGAUUUGAGGCACUCUGCCAGAAUUAAGGAGAACUAAAAUAGGGAGAACACGGGGAAAGGAGAUGGCAGGCUGAGAGGGCAGCAAGUAGAGCUCCAACAUGAGGAAGAGUGAGUGUCCUCAGAGAAGAUGCCCUGACAAAUAGGAAAAUGAUAAUUGGGAAGUACGUAAAUAUUUAGGGCAAGUGGGCUUGAUAUUUAUUAGACAAAAUCAGAAUAAAAACACCAAUUCUUCUGGAAGUUUGGAAUUUUAAUUUCAAAAAAGGGUUCUGGAAGAUAGGAGAAAACAAAGUGAAAUAAAAGAAACAAAAAUAAACAGGUUAACAACAAGGGCAUAAAAAAUUGGGAGCAGAUGUUAAUAGAGCGAAUCUACAGGGGCCCAGUAUGGGGAAAAACUAAGAUCUGCAACUGUUAGGUCUGGAUAUGUUGUCAUCCACAUUUGAAGCCAAUAAAGAAGCAUUUUUGAUAUAAAACCUCUGAAAGUUAAUCAAUAAGGUUCUCUUUAUGAAAAAAAUAAAAUAAAAUAACACAGUUUUCCAGACAACCAUGAAAUGAGCACAGUAAUAAACCCAAAUGAAGAAGGAAGGAUGCUAUGAAAGGCCCGGCAGUCACACUGAAAUAUCGUCAUAUUAGAUCAAGUCUAAAUAAUAAAUGUACUGUAACUAAAAUGGAAUUUGCCAAACUGGUCAAUAAUUCUUAAAAAAUAAAAUAUAAAAUGUAGACAACAAUGUUUAACAAAUAAGCGUUAUUUAGGUCUAAGUACCCAGGCAGUGGGAGAAACGUAGGAGCAAGGAAGCCCCUGCUACUGUCUUGGUCACACCUGUAAGGAAAGUGGAAAUAAUGACUUCCCCUUGAUGUGGACAGAGAAAUAGAGGCAUUCAUGUCUAAAGAUAAUCCUCACCAAAAUUAAAAGUAGGAUGUAUACCUUUAUAUUAGAGAGGAAAGGGAAAAGAAAACAUGUAUGUUAGAGUCAGGGAUAAAUAUUAAAGGAAAGA